rnacentral:rRNA from 1 species
UACGUAGGGUGCAAGCGUUAUCCGGAAUUAUUGGGCGUAAAGAGCUCGUAGGCGGUUUGUCGCGUCUGCUGUGAAAACUGGAGGCUCAACCUCCAGCCUGCAGUGGGUACGGGCAGACUAGAGUGCGGUAGGGGGAGAUUGGAAAUUCCUGGUGUAGCGGUGGAAAUGCGCAGAUAUCAGGAGGAACACCGAUGGCGAAGGCAGAUCUCUGGGCCGUAACUGACGCUGAGGUGCGAAAGCGUGGGGGAGC